rfam:Methanosaeta thermophila PT, complete genome.
GAGAGAGGAAGGGCGGCUGCCGCUGGCCGGUAUCGGCCGGUGUGGAAAGUCCCCCCACCUCUGGACACACAGGCAUCGAGAUGAUGCGGGGCGAGAGCUCCGGCUCUGGCACAGAAACGGGACUGCGCCGUGAUAAUGCGAUGAUGCCGAAAGGCGGAGGUCUCACGGAAUGCAGAUGAAACGGCGAAACCCUGUGGGUGCAAGCCAAAAUAGGGCAGCUCUGGGGGUGUCCAGCCCCUUGCCCGGGUAUGGCGCUAAGCUGAAUGCCGCCGAAACAGAAGGGGGCUUACUCUCCUGACUC